ACUCGCUUGCAACUUGUUGCAUGCAACAAAAAUCUGUCCAACUCCCCUGUUCACACUGUGAAAUUUGUUGCAUGCCACAAGUUUUAUACAACUAGUUGCAAAGUGUGAACGCACCUUGAUCUAAAACGAUUUGUUGAAUAAUGUGAUUGUUCA